rnacentral:rRNA from 1 species
UGGGGAAUUUUGGACAAUGGGCGAAAGCCUGAUCCAGCAAUGCCGCGUGUGUGAAGAAGGCCUUCGGGUUGUAAAGCACUUUUGUCCGGAAAGAAAUCCUUGGCUCUAAUACAGUCGGGGGAUGACGGUACCGGAAGAAUAAGCACCGGCUAACUACGUGCCAGCAGCCGCGGUAAUACGUAGAGUGCAAGCGUUAAUCGGAAUUACUGGGCGUAAAGCGUGCGCAGGCGGUUUGCUAAGACCGAUGUGAAAUCCCCGGGCUCAACCUGGGAACUGCAUUGGUGACUGGCAGGCUAGAUAUGGCAGAGGGGGGUAGAAUUCCACGUGUAGCAGUGAAAUGCGUAGAGAUGUGGAGGAAUACCGAUGGCGAAGGCAGCCCCCUGGGCCAAUACUGACGCUCAUGCACGAAAGCGUGGGGAGCAAACAGGAUUAGAUACCCUGGUAGUCCACGCCUAAAACC